GACAGAGGGUGCAAACGUUGCUCGGAAUUACUGGGCGUAAAGCGCGUGUAGGUGGUCACGCAAGUCAGGUGUAGAAAGCCCAGGGCUCAACCCUGGAAGUGCACAUGAUACUACGUGGCUGGAGUACUGAAGAGGAGAGCGGAAUUCCCGGUGUAGAGGUGAAAUUCGUAGAUAUCGGAAGGAACACCAGUGGCGAAGGCGGCUCUCUGGGCAGAUACUGACACUGAGACGCGAAAGCGUGGGUAGCAAACAGG
rnacentral:rRNA from 1 species